rnacentral:lncRNA from 1 species
UCAGUUUGUAAAGAUUAACUUUGACGUAGCCUUUGAUGAGAAUGUUCGACAAUCGGCAGUGGGAAUUGUGGCCAGAGACAGUCAAGGAAAUGCCCUUUUAUCUAGUACAGAGCUUCAUCACCAAGUAGCAUCAGCCUUUGCCGCAGAAGCAAUAGCUUGCAGGACAGCAACUCGCAUCGGUAUGAACAUGCAAUGGCCAAAUAUUAUUAUCGAAGGUGAUGCACUUUCAAUCAUUAAGAAAUGCAAAACACAAGCAAAUGACAGAUCAAGGGUUGGAGCAUAUAUUCGAGAUAUUCAUCAGUUACUAAUAAAAUAAAAAAGACACUAUUUUGAGCACACACCUAGAGAGGCAAAUAGUCUGGCUCAUAUGCUAGCAAGGGAGGCAUUAAAGAAAAAGGAAGAAAUUUACCUGAUUGGCACAGUUCUGGAUUAUGCCGAGCGACUAAAGGAAAAUGAACGGAAGGGAGUACAAAGAAGCAGAUGAAAUGAAUGACACAAAUCUUAGAGGCUGAAAAAGGGGAAACCCAAAAGUUUGAAUGAAACAACCUCAUUGAUAUCCGAGAAACGUCUUACUGAAGAAAUGAAAAAUGGAUUUGAA